AGAACAGAGCAUAUUUAUUGUGGCAGGACGGCACAGCCCGUCUCCACUCAUGUUGUGUAUGUGCUGGGUCAGGUGGAUAGCUGUGUAGGCUCGCCCCUUUGCUCCCCGCCCAUUGAGUGACACUGGGCUGGGAGCAAUUAUCCAAUUUCACCAGCGUACUGGGCGAGGCCAGCCAAAGCUAUAUAUGGGGGAGAGCUGCGCCUCUCAGAUGUGCGUCCCCCCACCUUAUCCGGAAACCUGAGCGUGUGUGUCGGCAGUGUGGUUUGGCGUGGCAGAAUUUGAUCCACGUGGCUGUCUUGAGACGCAGGUCGGCGCGUCUCCUCUGCUCACUUUGCCAGAGUUGGCCUGUACUCUGGCCGGGGGUUGGGAGUGCGUGGCCUCGGAGCCGUGCGCAAUAAUCCGCGCACCGCGUUGGGAACCCUCAGCUAUAAAGGUGGUUGGUUGGUGGCUAUCUCUCCUGUUGCCUGUGACGCUGCGCCCUCACUCACGGCAGGUGGCUCCUCCUCUGACGUGGGCCGCUGCGCUGCUGCUGCUGUUCUGUCCACCUGUUCUGUCUCGGGUUCACCCCAGCAAGCUUAUUGUUCUCUUACAUUUGUGUCUAUUGUUUUUCGUUGUUUUGUUUUUUUUGACAUCAUCAUUGUGUGUGUGCGCGGGUGUUUGGAGUUUCGCACGCCUGGAGUAAGUCAAUCUGGAUGAAACUCAAGUGUUGGCUGAACUGUAUGCAGUGCUGCUCAUGUGGAGGAAAUGAAUGCAGCAUAGGACUUAAAGCUACACCAAGAGGACUGAUCCACGUCAGCAAUCUAUUAGUAUUGGUUGAUUAUUGUUUCUUUGUAUUGUAAUUAGAUAAUUAUUUCGAUCAUUGGUGGAUUUUGUGACCGUUGUUGUUUUCUGUAGAUUUUUUUUUGUGUUUAGUUAUCCAGUUAUUUUUGCAUAGGUUUUGGUUUCUUAUUUUUUUUCGUUUAUUAUUUGUUUGUUAUAUCAACAAAAGCACAAUCAACCUUGGUGGAGACCUCCUGGGCCCGGCAUAGUGUGGUGUUGGGGCAGUUUCUGGCUUGGUUUUGUUUUUUUCUUGCCCCUUGCCUUGACUAAUAUCUGCCUCUUUUGUUGGACAGGAGCUGUUGGGCUGGUGUGGCGAGCGACUGACUGAUUCCUGCGGUGGCGGUCCCCUCACUUCCUGUACAGUAGUGCACAUGGGUGUCAGUUGAUGGUGUGUGGUUUCUUUUUUUCUUCACGUGUGGUGUGCCUCAUCAGGACCCUUCCCCUCCCCCUCAGUCGUCGCCGCCUGGUGAGCCCUCAGCCCCUUUACACAGCACAUGCACUUUUUUUUUUGGCAAACUUAACCAACCUGUCAAGAGGCCCCAGAGGAUUGUGCAAUAAUUUGCCUUUUGUUAUUAUUAUUGUAAUCUUGCUUGCAUCAUCACUGAGAUUGGUCAGCAUUUUAAAUUUUGAAAUAUUGUUAAUCAACUUUCUCUUUUAUAUUUUAUUUGGAAUCCGUCAGUCUCUGUGUCUCUCGUACCUGUGUGACCUUGUUUACAGUAUUAGAGAGGCGUUUCCCCUCUGAUAUAUUUCCUGGGAGUGAAAUUCCCCUAGGUGGCGUUGUCGGACACUUAUUAACAGAAAUAAAUAAAUCCAACCCUCGUAGCAC